AGCGGACCCAAAUGGAGCCUACCUAGCUGUUGGAUCACAAAGAAAGGAAGGACUUAUGGAAAAUGUUCAUAUUGGAAGAGAUUUAUGAAUACCAGCGGGACAAUUUGAUACCUUACUAUGCCAGAUAAAACCAACGGUAUUUGUAAAGGAAUUGGCAAAAAUCGUAAUUGGAGAUAAGACAUUGGAAAAAAGCACUGUUACUGGAAAAAUUUCGAACAGAAGCAAAGGGAAUAAUACUGUGCCUGAAAAAUUAGAUGGUCGCAAAUUAGCAGCUAUAAAAGAUUCAUUAGCAUUUUUUCUCUCUACAAAUUAUUUUGACAAGAUGGAUAUGGUGACAAAACAGACUCAUUUAAAUAACGUCGGCAAUUAUAUAAGUGCCUACAUUGCUGAUUUAAAAAAAAAGAAGCGAAUACAAG
rnacentral:lncRNA from 13 species